CAAUAGGACAGAAGAGCUCCUUGGCACUGGAUGCCUCCGGGUCUGGUUGAGAGAGGAAUGGUUAGGAGAUUGUUCUGAGGAUAUGCAGACAUCAUCCAAAGCUUCCUACAUUCAGAUGAGGACAGAGGUUGGGCUAGAGCUUUGUAUGCUUGUUACCUAAGUAUGGUUCUGACCAUGUAAGCAGAUCACAGAAGCUAUUCACAGAUCAUCAUCAGCCAGAGGUGACUUCUGUUGCUUGCAGCUCAGAAUCCUAGAUGUUUCUGGUGGCACUGAAGAGCCUCUGCCGAAGCUCUAUACCAUUUGCCAUGUACAAAGGGAAAUGAAAUAAUAACGCCGACCAUUUGUGGAGCACAUUCUGUGUCACUGCACUGAGAGGCGCCAUGUCAGACUGAUGAAUAAGAAAGAUGGUGCCUCACCCAGAUAUCCUGGACGUUGAUCUGGAGCUGGAGGCAAAUAAUGCCAAGAUGGGAAAGCCACAUAAUGGAAGGAUCCCAGAUUUCAGAGCUGUCACUUGGAGGAGGGGCACACAGUGAAGGUGUCUAUCUAACCCACACCAUAUCUUCAUGAAGUGGCCAUAUGGAUUUGAUCCCUAUCCUUCAGAGGUGCUCAGCCUAAGGGAACAUGGGUAGAAGAUUAAGCACUGACCAGGGGUAUAAAUCCUGCCUUCUCUCAGCCUUACAGAGGAAGAAAACCCUUUCCAAGUUUCCUCUGAUACUGGGUUUAUGCCCAAUUCUAGUUUAGGCAUGAAGAAACUGAAGCAUGGAGGAAAAACUAAACAACUAGCCCAAUGUCACACAGGCAAGCCAGCCUUGACAAUGUGCUG
rnacentral:antisense_RNA from 1 species